AGAGUUUGAUCAUGGCUCAGAGCGAACGCUGGCGGCGUGCUUAACACAUGCAAGUCGAACGGUUGUAGCAAUACAACCGUGGCGAACGGGUGCGUAACACGUGGAUAACCUUCCUUCAGGUGGGGAAUAACCCAGUGAAAAUUGGGCUAAUACCGCAUAACAAGACGAGAGCACAUGCUUUUGUCUUCAAAGGCGCAAGUCGCCAGAAGAGGGAUCCGCGGCCGAUUAGCUAGUUGGCGGGGUAACGGCCCACCAAGGCAAUGAUCGGUAGCCGGAUUGAGAGGUUGGCCGGCCACACUGGAACUGAGACACGGUCCAGACUCCUACGGGAGGCAGCAGUGGGGAAUCUUGCACAAUGGACGAAAGUCUGAUGCAGCAACGCCGCGUGGGGGAUGAAGCUUCUCGGAGUGUAAACCCCUUUCGACCCGGAAGAAAGCCCGCAAGGGUUUGACGGUACGGGUAUAAGAAGCCCCGGCUAACUACGUGCCAGCAGCCGCGGUAAUACGUAGGGGGCCAGCGUUGCUCGGAAUUACUGGGCGUAAAGGGUCCGUAGGCGGUGUGGCAAGUCGGGAGUGAAAUCUCUGGGCUUAACCCAGAGGCUGCUUCCGAAACUGCCGUGCUAGGGUGUGAGAGAGGCGAGUGGAAUUGCGGGUGUAGCGGUGAAAUGCGUAGAUAUCCGCAGGAACAUCCGAGGCGAAAGCGGCUCGCUGGAUCACAACUGACGCUGAGGGACGAAAGCUGGGGGAGCAAACAGGAUUAGAUACCCUGGUAGUCCUAGCCCUAAACCAUCAGGACUUGGGGUUUGCCCUGUACGGGGCAAGUCCCGUAGCUAACGCGUUAAGUCCUGCGCCUGGGGAGUACGGUCGCAAGACUGAAACUCAAAGGAAUUGACGGGGGCCCGCACAGCGGUGGAACAUGUGGUUCAAUUCGACGCAACGCCG
rnacentral:rRNA from 1 species